rnacentral:rRNA from 1 species
GACAGAGGUGCCGAGCGUUAGGCGGAAUCACUGGGCUUAAAGCGUGUGUAGGCGGGCCGUUAAGUGUCUUGUGAAAUCCCCCGGCUCAACCGGGGAAUUGCUGGGCAUACUGGCGGUCUUGAGCAGUCUAGGGGCAGAUGGAACAAGUGGUGGAGCGGUGAAAUGCGUAGAUAUCACUUGGAACGCCAAAGGUGAAGACAGUCUGCUGGGGACUUGCUGACGCUGAGACACGAAAGCCAGAGGAGCGAACGGG